UUUCCGUAGGUGAACCUGCGGAAGGAUCAUUACUGAGACUGGGUGCUUCGGCGCCCGACCUCCAACCCUUUGUCUACCUUACCUCUGUUGCCUCCCGCCCGAUUAGGUAGAGAUACCGAAAAGGCGGGAAGGCCUAACCAUAAACCCUUUUUUAAACCCAGUCUUCUGAGAAAUUAUUUAAUAACUUCAAAACUUUCAACAACGGAUCUCUUGGUUCUG
rnacentral:misc_RNA from 1 species